GGGAAUGUGGCUUAGAGGUAGAGUGCUUGCCUAGCAUGCAUGAAGCCCUGGGUUCCAUUCCUCAGUAUUACAG
rfam:Dipodomys ordii contig_67585, whole genome shotgun sequence.